GGUUAAGUGACUAAGCGUACACGGUGGAUGCCUUGGCAGUCAGAGGCGAUGAAAGACGUAGUAACUUGCGAUAAGCCCAGAUUAGGUAGUAACAACCAUUUGAGUCUGGGAUUUCUGAAUGGGGAAACCCACUUACAUAAGUAAGUAUCAUUAACUGAAUACAUAGGUUAAUGAGGCGAACCGGGGGAACUGAAACAUCUAAGUACCCCGAGGAAAAGAAAUCAACCGAGAUUCCGAAAGUAGCGGCGAGCGAAAUUGGACUAGCCCUUAAGCUUUACACGCGUUAGACGAACGGUCUGGAAAGUCCGACGAUACAGGGUGAUAGUCCCGUAGUUGACGACGUGUGUUCAGUGAAAUCGAGUAGGGCGGGACACGUGAUAUCCUGUCUGAAUAUGGGGGGACCAUCCUCCAAGGCUAAAUACUACUGACUGACCGAUAGUGAACCAGUACCGUGAGGGAAAGGCGAAAAGAACCCCUGUGAGGGGAGUGAAAUAGAACCUGAAACCGUGUACGUACAAGCAGUAGGAGCAGGCUUGUCCUGUGACUGCGUACCUUUUGUAUAAUGGGUCAGCGACUUAUAUUCAGUGGCAAGGUUAACCAUCUAGGGGAGCCGUAGGGAAACCGAGUCUUAACUGGGCGUUCAGUCUCUGGAUAUAGACCCGAAACCAGGUGAUCUAGCCAUGGGCAGGUUGAAGGUUGAGUAACAUCAACUGGAGGACCGAACCGACUAAUGUUGAAAAAUUAGCGGAUGACUUGUGGCUAGGGGUGAAAGGCCAAUCAAACCUGGAGAUAGCUGGUUCUCCCCGAAAGCUAUUUAGGUAGCGCCUCGGACGAAUACUACUGGGGGUAGAGCACUGUUAAGGCUAGGGGGUCAUCCCGACUUACCAACCCUUUGCAAACUCCGAAUACCAGUAAGUACUAUCCGGGAGACACACGGCGGGUGCUAACGUCCGUCGUGGAGAGGGAAACAACCCAGACCGCCAGCUAAGGUCCCAAAUUACUACUAAGUGGGAAACGAUGUGGGAAGGCUCAGACAGCCAGGAUGUUGGCUUAGAAGCAGCCAUCAUUUAAAGAAAGCGUAAUAGCUCACUGGUCGAGUCGGCCUGCGCGGAAGAUGUAACGGGGCUAAGUAGUAAACCGAAGCUGCGGCAAUGUGCUUUUGCACAUUGGGUAGGGGAGCGUUCUGUAAGCGGUUGAAGGUGUGUGGUAACGCAUGCUGGACGUAUCAGAAGUGCGAAUGCUGACAUGAGUAACGAUAAAGGGGUGAAAAACCUCCUCGCCGGAAGACCAAGGGUUCCUGUCCAACGUUAAUCGGGGCAGGGUAAGUCGACCCCUAAGGCGAGGCCGAAAGGCGUAGUCGAUGGGAAACGGGUUAAUAUUCCCGUACUUCUUACAAUUGCGAUGGGGGGACGGAGAAGGCUAGGUGGGCCUGGCGACGGUUGUCCAGGUUCAAGUGCGUAGGCUUAAGAGUUAGGUAAAUCCGGCUCUUUUUAAGGCUGAGACACGACGUCGAGCACCUACGGGUGUGAAGUCAUUGAUGCCAUGCUUCCAGGAAAAGCCUCUAAGCUUCAGAUUGUAAGGAAUCGUACCCCAAACCGACACAGGUGGUCGGGUAGAGAAUACCAAGGCGCUUGAGAGAACUCGGGUGAAGGAACUAGGCAAAAUGGUACCGUAACUUCGGGAGAAGGUACGCUCUUGAUGGUGAAGUCCCUCGCGGAUGGAGCUGACGAGAGUCGCAGAUACCAGGUGGCUGCAACUGUUUAUUAAAAACACAGCACUGUGCAAAAUCGUAAGAUGACGUAUACGGUGUGACGCCUGCCCGGUGCCGGAAGGUUAAUUGAUGGGGUUAGACUUCGGUCGAAGCUCUUGAUCGAAGCCCCGGUAAACGGCGGCCGUAACUAUAACGGUCCUAAGGUAGCGAAAUUCCUUGUCGGGUAAGUUCCGACCUGCACGAAUGGCGUAAUGAUGGCCACGCUGUCUCCACCCGAGACUCAGUGAAAUUGAAAUCGCUGUGAAGAUGCAGUGUACCCGCGGCUAGACGGAAAGACCCCGUGAACCUUUACUACAGCUUGGCACUGAACAUUGACCCUACAUGUGUAGGAUAGGUGGGAGGCUUUGAAGCAGGUACGCCAGUAUCUGUGGAGCCGUCCUUGAAAUACCACCCUUGUAGUGUUGAUGUUCUAACGUCGACCCCUUAUCGGGGUUGCGGACAGUGCCUGGUGGGUAGUUUGACUGGGGCGGUCUCCUCCCAAAGAGUAACGGAGGAGCACGAAGGUGGGCUAAUCACGGUUGGACAUCGUGAGGUUAGUGCAAUGGCAUAAGCCCGCUUGACUGCGAGAAUGACAAUUCGAGCAGGUGCGAAAGCAGGUCAUAGUGAUCCGGUGGUUCUGAAUGGAAGGGCCAUCGCUCAACGGAUAAAAGGUACUCCGGGGAUAACAGGCUGAUACCGCCCAAGAGUUCAUAUCGACGGCGGUGUUUGGCACCUCGAUGUCGGCUCAUCACAUCCUGGGGCUGAAGUCGGUCCCAAGGGUAUGGCUGUUCGCCAUUUAAAGUGGUACGCGAGCUGGGUUUAGAACGUCGUGAGACAGUUCGGUCCCUAUCUGCCGUGGGCGUUGGAAGAUUGAAGGGGGCUGCUCCUAGUACGAGAGGACCGGAGUGGACGAACCUCUGGUGUUCGGGUUGUGUCGCCAGACGCAUUGCCCGGUAGCUAAGUUCGGAAUCGAUAACCGCUGAAAGCAUCUAAGCGGGAAGCGAGCCCUGAGAUGAGUCUUCCCUGAUACUUUAAGUAUCCUAAAGGGUUGUCGGAGACUACGACGUUGAUAGGUCAGGUGUGUAAGUGCUGUGAGGCAUUGAGCUAACUGAUACUAAUUGCCCGUGAGGCUUAACCAU
rnacentral:rRNA from 1 species